rnacentral:rRNA from 1 species
GAUGAACGCUAGCUACAGGCCUAACACAUGCAAGUCGAGGGACCGGCGCACGGGUGAGUAACACGUAUCCAACCUGCCCUUUACUCGGGGAUAGCCUUUCGAAAGAAAGAUUAAUACUCGAUCUAAAGGAUGGGCAUGCGUUCCAUUAGGUUGUUGGUGAUGUAUCGGCUCACCAAGCCUUAGAUGGAUAGGGGUACUGAGAGGAAGGUCACCCACAUGGGAACAGAGACACGGUCCAAACUCCUACGGGAGGAAGCAGUGAGGAAUAGUGGUCAAUGGGCGGUAGCCUGAACCAGCCAAGUAGCGUGAAGGAUGAAGGCUUAUGGGUCGUAAACUUCUUUUAUAUAAAAAUAUGGAGUAUAUGAAUAAAGAUCGGCUAACGCCGGGCCAGCAGCCGCGGGAAUAC